rnacentral:rRNA from 1 species
CCUACGGGCGGCAGCAGUGAGGAAUAUUGGUCAAUGGGCGUAAGCCUGAACCAGCCAAGCCGCGUGAGUGAUGAAGGUUCUAUGCAUCGUAAACCUCUUUUAUAAGGGAAUAAAGUGCGGUACGUGUCCCGUUUUGUAUGUACCUUAUGAAUACGGAUCGGCUAACUCCGUGCCAGCAGCCGCGGUAAUACGGAGGAUGCGAGCGUUAUCCGGCUUUAUUGGGUUUAAGGGGUGCGAAGGCGGACGAUCAAGUCAGCGGGAAAAUGUCGGGGCUAAACCCCGGCCGGCCGUUGAAACUGGUUGGCUAGAGUUGGAGAGAGGGAAGCGGAAUGCGUGGUGUAGCGGUGAAAUGCAUAGAUAUGAGGAAGAACACCGAUUGCGAAGGCAGCAUACCGGCUGCAUACUGACGCUGAGGCACGAAAGCGUGGGGAUCGAACAGGAUUAGAUACCCUGGUAGUC